GCAGAACGCGAAGAACCUUACCUGGGUUUGACAUGGCCGCAAAACCGGCAGAGAUGUCGGGUCCUUCGGGGGCGGUCACAGGUGGUGCAUGGCUGUCGUCAGCUCGUGUCGUGAGAUGUUGGGUUAAGUCCCGCAACGAGCACAACCCUCGUUCGAUGUUGCCAGCGGUUCGGCCGGGGACUCAUCGAAGACUGCCGGGGUCAACUCGGAGGAAGGUGGGGAUGACGUCAAGUCAUCAUGCCCCUUAUGUCCAGGGCUUCACGCAUGCUACAAUGGCCGGUACAAUGGGCUGCGAUACCGUGAGGUGGAGCGAAUCCCAAAAAGCCGGUCUCAGUUCGGAUCGGGGUCUGCAACUCGACCCCGUGAAGUCGGAGUCGCUAGUAAUCGCAGAUCAGCAACGCUGCGGUGAAUACGUUCCCGGGUCUUGUACACACCG
rnacentral:rRNA from 1 species